ensembl:lincRNA Gm43252 predicted gene 43252
UUUUCUGCUUCCUCCGUUUCAGCUUGACAUCUCCUCAAACGCUACCUGACAGCCUGCCGCCAUCACCCGUGAAUCAGGUUCGUCCCACAUACUAGAGCUGACAAACGCCAUAUUCACGCCAAGGAAUUUUGAAAGCAAAUAUGUCACAUUAAUGAUGAUGACGAUGACGACGACGACGAAGAUGGUCAGAAAAUGAUUAGGAAAGAACACCCUGGCAGCCUUUGUUGCUAGAAUCUGCUCAUGGGCAAAUGGCAAAGCUAUUCACAUGGAAGACAUUAAACCAUCAACACCGUAGUAUUCCUGUUUGAUCUGAGCCUGGGGUCACUGUGUCAGGACUGCCGGUGAAGAAGAGAAAGUAACUCACAAAGAAAAAUGACACGUUCUCCAGGAUCACACAGGGUAUCCAGUGCACACAUCUGAAGAUUCCUCUCCUGCCAGCCCUUAGAGUGAAUCUGUGAAUGUGGCUGUUCUGAGAUUACCACCAUAUCAAGCUUGGGCAUCCUUUCUUACACUCAGCUCUGUUUCUAGCUCAUCUUGCCUCUCACAGUGCAACUAAGAGCAAGCUCCGUACGCUGCUUUCACCAUACCUUAAGGAAACCCUCCACGGCCCUGUCUAUCUUCCUGCUGAAGUUGACUAAGGUCAGCCACAGUGGGGAAUGAGAUCUGCUUCUUCCUCCACUCGUGUGCACCUUAGCUUUGCAGCCCCCCUCCCCUGCUGCCUUCUUUGGGUGCUCGGUAGAAUGCCGACUCCAGUUGACCCCUUGAUCACAGAGACGUCCCCACUCAUAGACUGAUGCUCUGUUUAUCAUAAGGGGUCACUAAAUAUUUGCUAAAUGAGUGGAUGAAAUUAUUUCACCAAGGAUACACUGAAAGACUUAAAUCUCCUUCCACAUUUCCUAAAAAUGUUCUUCUUUUUUGUUAAUGAGAAACUUCUGAAUAAGGAUUCUUAUGAUUUGUUAUAUUUUAUGCUUCUUUUUUAACUUAUGUAUUUAUUUGCUAUGUUGAGGGUUGAACCCAUUGCCUCCAGCUUGCUAGGCAAAUCCUCUUCCAUGGAACAACAUCCCCAUGCCCAAAACUUGCUAUGUUUUAAAGUUGCCAUCUGUCAAGUCAGGGUUUUAAAUGUCUAUGAAGCAAUUGCAUUUAACUCUGCUAUUCAAAGAUAAUAACAGAAUUUAUAGAAAUUUAAUUCUUAGUGUUGGGACACCAACUUAACAUAGGGUGGCAAAUGACUCUUUGCUCUGGCCAGUUGAUGCCUAGCUGAGACAAAAGUAUUAAGGUGUCAGAGGCUCCUCCCGCAUGGGACCCAGAGACUGAGGCUCUGCUAUCUGCUGCAAGCUGUAAGACACUACAUGCUUGCAUUCCCUUCCUUUCUAUCAAGGUACUCACCAUACGCCCAACCUGGCCUUCAAGGAUUCAACCCAGUCCUCCCCUCCCAUGCUUUCAUAGGACUCCCUAGGCACAACAUUUUUCUCAUUGGUGAAGCUUCUCAUAACAAUUUAACAUGUUAAGAUAUGAUUUGUCCUAUGCAUGUUUGGUGUACUGGUCUUCGCUGGUUUAUGAGAGAAGGGUCCAUCAUCCUUCUCUCUGAGCUCAGUCUGCCUCCUGCUUUGUAGCACUGAAUGCCCACAGAUGCUCACAACGUACUUUCUUGAAUAAAUAAACAGCUCUGUCAAUGCAGGUAGACAUAACAGAUGGCUGGUGUGUUGGCAUGAGGCAUGAGGCUGCCUGGCCCGUUAGCGAAGCGGGCGAGAGGGGCAGUUCGCAUCUGUUGGAGGGCUAGCAGGGGAAGGCCGCAGAUACGGAGGUAGGCAGGGCUGAGGAAGGCUGUAGAUAUGGAGAUAGGUGGGGCUGGGGAUUGGGGUGGUAUGGGUACAUUGCUGGGAUUCAUAGCAACUCUGCCUCUUGUUUCUCAUCCCAGGCAACUAGAGGUGUUUUUUUCCUAUAUCACAGCUCGGUAUUAAGACCAAAGGAGAAAUGAACUUUGAAGUGGUGGCCCCAUUGUUGUAGAUAGCAAUAUUGUUCUACAUAACUUGUUUGUGGUUCGUGUUGCUCACAUGAACAUUCGGACGCACAUCUGCCACGGACCCGUAAUGAGUUAUAAACUGAGAAACCUGAGCGUCAUACCUUUUCCUAUUCCUCAUAUUUCCAAGGCUGGAGUUCUCAGACUAUUGGACACAGCUGGGCAAUCAAGAGGACUUGAAAAAGAACACUAAUCUAUUUGAUAAGAGCUCCACCCCACGGCCUGACCACCUCCCAAGGGCUCUCCGACGGAUGACAUUUCAUCUCAUGGGAGGAACUCGAACUUUCAGUCACUGUGACUCUUCUGGUUGUUGUCCCCUGGUUUGUUAGACUCUUGUCAUCAGCACCGAGCUUACCGGUGUGACUUUACGAAGUGACAUGCCAUGACUAGACAGAAGCUUCCAGUGAGUGCACGGAUUUUUCUUCUAUAAAAAAUGGAAUAUCUCAAACAGCAAGCAGGAGUACUCGGUCCUCAGUGGAAACCAUCAGGGCAAGUGUACAAUGACCUAGGUUCUAACUUCCUCAUUUGCACUGGCUUGUCUUAAAGGGAAAAGCCACAUCCCUGGACUCGCUGAGGUGGUCUGUCAGAUGCGAUAACCUGGCUAGGAGCGGGAAACACAAGUUUCAACUGAAAUCUGCUCCAGAUUUUAAUCAUGGUCAUGGGCCCUUUUCUGGGGCUAUUUCACUACAGAUACCUGUUAAAAUUUAUUCCAGUUUAAGGAAGUUUCUGUAUCUAUAGUCAAGGAAAUUCUGGAAUCUUUCUUAUAAGUGAGUAUCAGUAAUGUCACUUGCAGAACAGGGCUGCCAGGAGCCUCAGCUUCUUGCUCAUUGCUGUCUUCACAGGGCUAAGGUUAAUCCUCAGCCGUGGCCAGCCUUCUAGGUAAUGGCGUUUUUAUAGGAUCUUGAAAGAUGACUCUUUAAAAUUAUUUUAUUUCCUCUAACUUAAGGUACAGUGCUCUUGCCCAGAAGGAAACAGUCAUUUCCUAGGAAAAGGGAAACCACACUUCCUGGGGAUGUGACAGCCCCUUUGUCUACCAGCUACUCCUUUGACUGUAAGGGCAGAAAACGAAAAGCAGGUGCCAUCUGAAGGGAAUGAUCCAGGCUAUGGCUCGCAGUAGGCAGAGCUCAGGCUGAGAAGCAAAGCCCAGGCUGGCUUCCAGCCAGGUGACCCUGUCACUCAUUCCUCUAGGUUUGGAUUUCCCCAUAUGUGCCAAUAAAGGAUCUGCAAACCCCUGU